rnacentral:lncRNA from 12 species
GCAUGUUACAUCACAGUCAAGUAUGGCUUUAAAAUAAAAUAUAUUCCCGGAGGAAUCGGGCAAGAGGCGGAAAUUAUCCCUGCUAACCACACUGGAGAACAUUUGGAGCACUGCUAAUUGCCCACGCCUGAGGUUUGUUUUUGCAGCCGCUGCCUGAACUCCUCCAUGUGUUCCCCCACUGGCACAAGGGGACAGCGGCUGCUGCUGCUGCUGCUGCUGCUGCAGGGCUCCGAGUGCCACCAGCCCCCUCCCGGCAAGAGCCGCCCGCUAAGGAAAAGCCCGAGGAAAGGGAUGCUUGUGCAGGAAGCAGCACGAGGUUCUGGUUGCGAGGAGAGGGGAAAAGCAGCCUUACCUUGGCAGGCAGAGCCGUGCUCAGCGCAGCCGAGCGCUCAGGAGGAAGUGCAAUGUCCCUGCACCGCUGUUUGCACAGCCAGGGGACCUGGCUGACAUCACGAGCUGCCACAAAAAGAUGCUGCUUUUGCUGUGGCUCCAGCCCUGCUCCCAGCCCUGCCAGCUCUGUCCUGGGCAGGGGUCCCCACAAUGACCCCAAAAUGGGGGCACGUGCCUUUGUCCCAGGUGUUUUCUGUCCUGGGGCUCUGCCGGGUUGGCUCGGCACCUACUGGGAAGAUUCCAAUUGGAAUUGGGUGCAGGGAACCCCUUCCUCCCCUCCAACCCUUCCUCCUCUCCAACUAUUCCUCCUCUUCAACCCUUCCUCCUCUCCAACCCUUCAUCCUCUUCAGCUCUUCCUCCUCUCCAACUAUUCCUCCUCUCCAACUCUUCCUCCUCUCCAACCCUUCCUCCCCUCCAACCCUUCCUCCUCUCCAAGCACAGCUCUGAGCAGACCAUGGAAAUGCUCCUGAGGUCUCUGCCCUCUCCUGCCCUGCUGUCCCCUCCUGUCCCUGGGGCUCAGGACCUGCUGCUCUGCUCCAGCUCAGUCCUGCAGAUGAGGUCUGACUUCCCAAAGGCUUUUUUUAGCACAGUGUGAGCCUUGCCUGACAUUUCUCCUGAACUAAAUAAGUCCCCAGCUUGGUUUACACUCGCUGGAUCUCCGUGCCAGCAGUGCCCAAGGGUGGCACUUCUGACAUUGCUUCAAGGAAGGGGCACAGAUUCAG